AAUAGUAAUAUUGAAAAAUUAGAUGGCAAAGCUUGCUUUUACAAACCUCUCCUGAUUUCUAGAAUUUCUUGCCAAAAUGCUACUGGAGCCAGGAUUUUGCAGCAUGUGUUUGCCCUGUGGAACCAGGGAGGAGUUCCCAGGCAUGGUCUGACUCCAUGCUGGAACAACAUCAAGGUCGGGAAGUCAGAUUCCCCUGAAACCAGGGUGCACAAUUGUUUCAGAAAGAACCUGGUCUAAAGUUAAGGGAGGUUCUCAGCAUGAGGAGUAGAGGCUGAAAAGCAGAAGGGCUGAGGAGAGGAUACCUGGAGCACUGUGCAGCUGGGAAAGACAAGGAAAGGACAAUCCUGCGGAUUCUGGCUCACACACACUCCCAGGUCUACAACAUCAGAUGACUCUUAGCAGAUGCAAGAUGCUUCUGGAAGCCGAACAGUGGUUGUGUUUGAUUCAUCAUACCCUUUGGACCACCCUGUUUGUCCAUCACGCUUCUGUGCCACGCUGCACUGCAGUGGUGUUCUCAUCCAGGAGAGCCUGGCCAUGGACAACAGGAUCAACAAGCUUUGAAGAGCCUGAUCCAGGGGACACAGGGAGCCUUCAGGUCUCCGUUACCUUCCAGUUCCCCGCUGCCCCAGUUCAGCUGCCUCCAACAAGAGCUUGGGAAGUAUGA
rnacentral:lncRNA from 1 species